CGAGCGCGGAGCGGACUCGGAGGUGCUCCCGGAGAGCGGCGGGCCCGAGCAGGGGGCGAGGAAGGCGGAGAGGGAGACGCGGCACUGACCUUCCCUGCGGUGCCGUCCCCCAGCACCACGAGCUUGAGCUGGCGGUCCGGGCUCUCCUCCUCUUCCGAGUCAGACAUGCUCGCCGCGGGGAAGGGAAGAAGCGCGCGACGAUCACGGAGCCGGCCGCGGCGCCCAGGCCGGAGCCGCCAUCUUCCCUCAGCGCGGCCGCCGUCGCUAUGGGCCGCACCGGACGAAACCAACGAGAGACAGGAGGGAAGGGGGAGAGGACAGGAGCUAGCGCAGCGAGACCGGCAGCCGCUGCGGGCGCACGCAGGGGGCAGCCGCGAUGCCUUCACUUUCACACCCCCCAGCAGGAGGGAGAGUGGCUCAGCCCGGCACCGUACUCAGAACGGCAGUGGUUCGGCCCCGAGUGACGCCCCGCGCGGCAGACAGAAGCUCCACCAGCGUGCCAUCACCAACCACAUUAGCCCGUGCUCCUUGUGUUGGGGGGAUGCCCACCCAUCAUCCAGCAGCCCUCCGUACCAUUAACCUCCAGCAAAGGGCAGCUCUGGA
rnacentral:lncRNA from 1 species